UCAACUUUCCCUCACAUCUUCGUUGACGGCUAUGCUCUCGAUCUAAAAAGUUUUUGUGAAGACAUAAAAAAAAUCUGAAAGACAAACGGAUGCGGGAUCACUGGAUCAGUGCGCUUGCUUGCUCUGUCCACUCUCCUGAAACUUCGGGCACAGGGAUUUUGGAGGAUGAGUUAAAGGACCUUUCUCUCUCCACACCUUGAAUCAUUGAGGACAACAGAGAGG